UCUAAUAUUAGCUCAGAUAACAUUUUAUCUUAAACCUUAAGACUGAAAUUAACCAUCACCAUUUAUUAUAACCCGCAGACUGGUUGCCAGCUUGCUUAAAACCGGGCCCAGUGUGGGUUGUUAGCGCGUGCGGCGCGGUGCCGAGUGGUGCGGUGGCGGCUGGCGUGUUCGAAGGAGAGGUCACUUGAGUAGCACGCACCACGCACAAAUGCAACGUACUACCAGCCGCACUGCAUCCCUCCAAACAUUGCUGUUUGCUAUACGCUGAUGGAGCUGUCCACCACUACACUAAGUAUCAGGUGAUGUGCAAUGCGGCGGUGCGAUAACUGGCGUGGCGUGCGGGGGAAGUGGGCACGAUGCGGUGCGUGUAGCGGCGGGCGUGUACGUGGACCGCGUGCACUACCGCGGUUCGCACCUGCUCGGCGCCAUACACACGCCAGCCUACCGCUGCCACGUCGUCAUUUUUGGUCGCCCUUUCGUGUUCAACUGCUACGAAUUGCUUG